CCUACGGGGGACAGCAGUGGGGAAUAUUGCACAAUGGGGGAAACCCUGAUGCAGCGACGCCGCGUGAGUGAGGAAGUAUUUCGGUUUGUAAAGCUCUAUCAGCAGGGAAGAAAAUGACUGUACCUGACUAAGAAGCCCCUGCUAACUACGUGCCAGCAGCCGCGGUAAUACGUAGGGGGCAAGCGUUAUCCGGAUGUACUGGGUGGAAAGGGAGCGUAGACGGUUAAUCAAGUGAGAAGGGAAAACCCAGGGCUCAACCUUGGUACUGCUUUUGAAACUGAGUAGCUAGAGUGCAGGAGGGGGAAGUAGAAUGCCAAGUGUAGCGGUGAAAGGCGUAGAUAUUAGGAGGAAUACCAGAGGCGAAGGCGGCUUAUUGGACUGGAACUGACGUUGAGGCGCGAAAGCGUGGGGAGCAAACAGGAUUAGAUACCCGAGUAGUC
rnacentral:rRNA from 1 species